rnacentral:lncRNA from 1 species
GGCACGCCUACCCAUUAGACAGGCCCUCUCUGUACUGAUGAUGGCAUACAUUAAUUCACAUAUGGAAUUCAAUAAGUGACCAAGCCAGAGCAUGACACAUCUUUUGGAAAUUAUGCCUCGAUGCAUGAUGUGGCCAUCACUUUGUUCAGCCUCAGUUCCCGCGGAGAGCUGCACAGUCAGCCCUGCAGCAUUCGCAACAGUGCAUGGACAAGAUUCCGAUGCAGCUCAGUACCGAUGUGUCUGAUGUGAGUACUGUGGAGGCUGCUGGGAGGUAGCUGAGUAUCCCAUGCUGCUCUGCGGCUGUGAUGUGCUUGGUCCAGGGUUGGGAUAGGCAGCAUGUGGAUUGGAA